rnacentral:rRNA from 1 species
AUUGAACGCUGGCGGCAGGCCUACACAAGGAAGUCCAACGAGGGGGGGGAGGGUGAGUAAAUUUCGGGAAACUGCCUGGUGGAGGGGGGUAACUUCUGGGAACGGUAGCUUAUACCCGCUAGCAACAGGAGGGCCCCGAUGGGAUUAGCUAGUUGGUGGGGUAACGGCUCACCAAGGCGACGAUCCCUAGCUGGUCUGAGAGGAUGACCAGCCACACUGGAACUGAGACACGGUCCAGACUCCUACGGGAGGCAGCAGUGGGGAAUAUUGCACAAUGGGCGCAAGCCUGAUGCAGCCAUGCCGCGUGUAUGAAGAAGGCCUUCGGGUUGUAAAGUACUUUCAGCGGGGAGGCGUUACCCGCAGAAGAAGCACCGGCUAACUCCGUGCCAGCAGCCGCGGUAAUUC